AUGUCUCAAGAUAGCCAUGCAUGUCUAAGUAUAAAUACUUCUACUUUGAAACUGCGAAUGGCUCAUUAUAUCAGUUAUAAUUUAUUUGAUAGUCCCUUACUACUUGGAUAACCGUAGUAAUUCUAGAGCUAAUACAUGCAUCAAUACCCAACCGUUCGCGGACGGGUAGCUUUUAUUAAAUAGAAACCAACCCUCUUCGGAGAUGCUUUGGUGAUUCAUAAUAACCUUGCGAAACGCAUGGGGUCGUGCCCGCGAAGGAAUAAUUCAGUUUUUGACCUCACCGCUUUUGUAGGAAAGGGAUUGGGACUCCCUGGCAUUUAACGGGAACGAAAUUGUAGGGGCCGGAUUUCGCCAAGGGAGCCUGAAAGACGGAUCCCCCAUCCACGGAAGGGGGGGGGGCGCCCCCACUUACCCCAUCCUGACCCGGGGAGGGAGGGACAGUAAAAAAACAAUACCGGGCCCCACAUCGUCUGGCCUGGAAUGAUGAAAAUAAUACACAU
rnacentral:rRNA from 1 species